AGAUGUAAGGGAGAUCAGGCUGCAACAUCUGUCACCCCACUGCUUGCCAGGCUUGGUUUGACUGAUCUGGCUGGCUAGGCAGGUGACCCCUUCGUGUCUCAAUCUUCAUGUGCAUUACUUCCCAAGCUACAUGCUUGGUCAAGAGGAUGGCCACUCCUGCUAUAGGGUCAAAUGUAUAGGAGUAGCUGUCCUCCCUUGCUAUAGCCUGCUAACAAGUUCUCAAGAAAGUUUUCAAGAAAAACACAUUGGAACUUUAUAUUCUGGAUUACUAAAUCAAGCAUUUGACAAUAAACUCUUGGUUAUUCUUCAAGU
rnacentral:snRNA from 1 species